AAAGGUCCUGAUGUGAAAGCCCCCGGCUCAACCGGGGAGGGUCAUUGGAAACUGGGAAACUUGAGUGCAGAAGAGGAGAGUGGAAUUCCACGUGUAGCGGUGAAAUGCGUAGAGAUGUGGAGGAACACCAGUGGCGAAGGCGACUCUCUGGUCUGUAACUGACGCUGAGGAGCGAAAGCGUGGGGAGCGAACAGGAUUAGAUACCCUGGUAGUCCACGCCGUAAACGAUGAGUGCUAAGUGUUAGGGGGUUUCCGCCCCUUAGUGCUGCAGCUAACGCAUUAAGCACUCCGCCUGGGGAGUACGGUCGCAAGACUGAAACUCAAAGGAAUUGACGGGGGCCCGCACAAGCGGUGGAGCAUGUGGUUUAAUUCGAAGCAACGCGAAGAACCUUACCAGGUCUUGACAUCCUCUGACAACCCUAGAGAUAGGGCUUUCCCUUCGGGGACAGAGUGACAGGUGGUGCAUGGUUGUCGUCAGCUCGUGUCGUGAGAUGUUGGGUUAAGUCCCGCAACGAGCGCAACCCUUGAUCUUAGUUGCCAGCAUUCAGUUGGGCACUCUAAGGUGACUGCCGGUGACAAACCGGAGGAAGGUGGGGAUGACGUCAAAUCAUCAUGCCCCUUAUGACCUGGGCUACACACGUGCUACAAUGGACAGAACAAAAGGGCUGCAAGACCGCAAGGUUUAGCCAAUCCCAUAAAUCUGUUCUCAGUUCGGAUCGCAGUCUGCAACUCGACUGCGUGAAGCUGGAAUCGCUAGUAAUCGCGGAUCAGCAUGCCGCGGGUGAAUAAC
rnacentral:rRNA from 1 species